rnacentral:lncRNA from 10 species
UUCUUUUUGUGUCUUCAAGCUCAAGUUUCUUCAUUUCUAGAGCAGGAUAGUGAUACCUCAAUUAGGGUCUUGAGGCUAUUCUCAACUGUCUGCCUCCCUUUCCUGCCCUUUCUCUUGGACAGCAGACCCUGGGGCCUGGGCCAGGCCACACCUGUGCUUGGGGCUAGGGCUGCAGCUGCGGUAGGAGAGGGCUGGAGUGACACAGCACCUGAGCCAGUCAGGCAGGGCUGAUCUUGCUGGGGUCUUGGCUGCAGACAAGUGUGAUCUCCAGGAUGGGACCCGGUGGAGCCAUGACUUGAGUGCCUCUAAUGGACUUGGAAGGACCUGAAUCUGCUGUCAUUCUACCAGCCCAGCACCCAGUCCUACAGCUGUUCAAAGAUGCCUCUUCCACUUAACCUGUCUUCAGUGGAAUUUUCGCUUCUGAGAACCCUUCUCCGGGCUGGGAACUACAAAUGCUCUAGAUUGCAUGAAAAUACCCAGGUAUACAACCUCUUUCUGAAGUUAAAUAAUAAAUAAUGCACGCAGAAUACGGAGAAGGGCAAUGUAUCAAUGGUGUUUCUUCAGUCCACUUUAAUGUUAUUACAAUUAAUGGUAUCAUCAAUAGUUAUCUGCCUCUGGUAAGAACCACUAAAUUAUUCACACCAUGGCUUUCAUCUCCCCACCAUCCCUCACACAAUUACACUUGCCCACAUAAACAGAUUCACCCUGCUUCCAUGUAGCACCUUAUUUUCCUUAGGCUUUUUUUUUUUGAGAAACACUCCCAAAAUGGGGAUGGUAAAAACACAUCAUUUUCCCCUUUCCUGUUUGAAUUCUAUGAUUCCCACCAUCGUCAAAGACCCAGGACCUUGGUCAUCUCUUCCACACAAAGCCUAGAAUUACAUGCACUCUACUGGCUUUAACUCUCACAAAUAAUGAAACCUUGAUUCCCACUACGUCCUUAAAGUCCACUAAGUCCAAUCAAAUCCACUAAGACUGCUAUUACCUCCUCUGCUGAAGGUUUGCUGUAUCCUUGUAAUAAUAUGUUGGCUAUUUCAACAUAGUGUGAUCACACUAAGAGCAUUUAAAAUAAAAAAUCAA